GACGAACGCUGGCGGCGUGGAUUAGGCAUGCAAGUCGAACGGUAUCAUCCUUUCGGGGGUGAGAGAGUGGCGAACUGGUGAGUAACACGUAGGUUAUCUACCCUCAAGACGGGGACAACCCAGGGAAACUUGGGCUAAUACCGGAUGUGAGCAACUUUUAGUUGUUUGAAAGGUGGCGUAAGCUGUCGCUUGGGGAUGAGCCUGCGUCCUAUUAGUUAGUUGGUGAGGUAACGGCUCACCUAGGCAAUGAUAGGUAGGCGGCCUUAACGGGUGGUCGCCCACACUGGGAUUGAGAUACGGCCCAGACUCCUACGGGAGGCAGCAGUGGGGAAUAUUGGACAAUGGGCGAAAGCCUGAUCCAGCAAUGCCGCGUGGGUGAAGACGGCCUGCGGGUUGUAAAGCCCUUUAGGUGGGGAGGAAAGGCGGGACGUGAACAGCGUUUCGCACUGACGUUACCCACGGAAUAAGCACCGGCUAACUCCGUGCCAGCAGCCGCGGUAAGCUGUAGUCGU
rnacentral:rRNA from 1 species